rnacentral:rRNA from 1 species
UACGAAGGGUGCAAACGUUGCUCGGAAUUAUUGGGCGUAAAGCGCACGUAGGCGGCUAUCUAAGUCGGAUGUGAAAUCCCUCGGCUUAACCAAGGAAGUGCACCCGAAACUGGAUAGCUUGAGUACAGAAGAGGAUCGCGGAAUUCCCGGUGUAGAGGUGAAAUGCGUAGAUAUUGGGAGGAACACCAGCGGCGAAGGCGGCUCACUGGACCGGUACUGACGCUGAGGCGCGAAAGCGUGGGUAGCAAACAGG